rnacentral:sRNA from 1 species
GGCAUUUUGGGAGCUCAUUGGCUUCGGGUUCCAUCGAAACUCCGAAGUUAAGCGAGUAGCGCGCGAGAGUAAUCCCAUGAUGGGUGACCCACUAGGAAGUUCUUGUGUGAGUUCCCAUUAACAAAACCGUGAGGGCGUGGUUGGGGUCCAAAGCGGACAAUAUCGUGUUAUGGUGGUGGACUCGGGUCGGGAUGUGACAAAUGGUAUCAGAGCCUAACCCUGGCUGUGGUGUGCCGACGAGGAAGUCGGGCCCCUAAAGGGGUGGAUUGUAACAUCCCACAUCGCCCAGGGGAGUGAUCCUUAAAUGUAUAUUCCCAUCUCUACCUAGCAUGAGGCUUUUUGGGAGCUCAUUGGCUUCGGGUUCCAUCGGAACUCCGAAGUUAAGCGAGUAGCGCACGAGAGUAAUCCCAUGAUGGGUGACCCACUGGGAAGUUCUUGUGUGAGUUUCC